GGGGACACGGCUGUGAACCACUUCCCAGCUCCGUCUUGGAGCUGACAUUCUGGUAGAGGGAAACACUUGAAUUGGACUGCAUGAAAUGCCCCAUUUUCAACCAUUUUUUAAUUUAUAGAAAGGACAAUGUCAUAUGGUUCAACCUAGCCCACGUAUAAGACUGAGAGACGCGAGGAAGACACCUAAGGCAAAGUAAAGGGGGUUGUUACUAUUUAAAGGCAGCUGUGGCUUGGCCACGUGAGCAUACUGGGCUGAAAAUGGUAAGCAGGAUUUGUAAUUUCUUCUAAGUCGAGUCGACCCUUUGAUGAGAUUGCAUUUUGUACCUUCUACUACUAAGAGAGGUCUGCUCCCCUGGAACUCUGAUAAAGGUAAAAUGUCAACUCAGUUUCCAGGCAAAACAUCUGAUGACCACAUCUGGACCUGGAGGACUAUGAAUGAACUAUAAAUACAUGGUGGGAGCCACCACUUUAGGUUUCCCCCUGUGCGAUGAGUUCUUUUAACUGGACAUACCCU
rnacentral:lncRNA from 10 species